rnacentral:lncRNA from 1 species
CUGUUUUUCUAGAACAUUUCCCAGAGAUGGAGCAGCACUUGUGAGCCAAAUGGUCACCCCACAAAGUGAAAUUCUGCAGAUAUAGCAAUAGUACACAGUUCUGCCUCUGUUCCUCAUGAAAUAAAAAGGCAGACGGUCCGUUUCCUGUAAUGGUAAGGGUUCACCCACUCCGUUGGUUUGUGUCCGUUACUGGGAAGAAAUGAGAUGGAAGCUAUAUGUUCAAUCAAUAAGGAAAGGUAAACAGCAGUACUCUGCUAGCCCAGUAUCAAACUCUACUGAAAAGCAACUGCAGUGUUUGGAAGCUUGGAAGCGAGUGAAUAAGCUUCACCCUGAACCCAGUGUGCAGCACUCCUCUGCUGUAAGGAACACUCCCGCUUUGGCUCCAGUUCUCUGGACCAUCUGGCUCACCAGCAGCUUUAGAAUCCUUGCCUUAGCCACACCCUUUUCUAUUAUCACAGUGUUCUAGUAAACAUCUUGUGCGCGACCUUGCAUAUACAUUUAAUUCAUUCUUAUAGCGCUCCACUAUCCUUCCCUUUUAUUCGCUGCAGAAGUUAUUUAGAUUUCCAAAUACGGUUCGCCCUGUUAUUUCUAACUCAAACGUCUUCUUUCAGUCUCUGCCUUAUUUGAAACACUGUCCUCUGUUUUGUUGCUACUUGAAUUUAUCAGUCACUUCCGUGAGCUGACUAUGAGGUGUAUACCCAUCUGACCACGCUUUGGGCUUCACUGCUUGUAGAUAAAGCCACAAUAAGCAAUUUCAAAGGUGAACAGGACUGUGAUGGUGUGCCGUGAGGCAGCGCCCAGUGGUGACAAGGAGGACAAGCCUGGACAUCAAUGCCGA